rnacentral:rRNA from 1 species
UACGUAGGUGGCAAGCGUUGUCCGGAUUUAUUGGGUUUAAAGGGUGCGUAGGCGGUCUAUUAAGUCAGUUGUGAAAUACGGCAGCUCAACUGUCGAGGUGCAAUUGAUACUGAUGGACUUGAGUACUGAUGAGGUAAGCGGAAUGGACGGUGUAGCGGUGAAAUGCUUAGAUAUCGUCCAGAACACCGAUAGCGAAGGCAGCUUACUAAGGAGUAACUGACGCUGAAGGCACGAAAGUGUGGGGAGUCAAACAGG